rnacentral:tRNA from 1 species
GCUGGGGUGGCAGAGCCAGGUAAAUUGCAUGAGACCUAAACCCUCAGAAGUUCAAUCUUCUCCCCAACC